rnacentral:rRNA from 1 species
GCCAAGUUUGCACGCCUGCCGUUCGACGAUUGGAAGUAAAAGUCGUAACAAGGUUUCCGUAGGUGAACCUGCGGAAGGAUCAUUACCGAGUGUAGGGUUCCUAGCGAGCCCAACCUCCCACCCGUGUUUACUGUACCUUAGUUGCUUCGGCGGGCCCGCCAUUCGUGGCCGCCGGGGGCUCUCAGCCCCGGGCCCGCGCCCGCCGGAGACACCACGAACUCUGUCUGAUCUAGUGAAGUCUGAGUUGAUUGUAUCGCAAUCAGUUAAAACUUUCAACAAUGGAUCUCUUGGUUCCGGCAUCGAUGAAGAACGCAGCGAAAUGCGAUAACUAGUGUGAAUUGCAGAAUUCCGUGAAUCAUCGAGUCUUUGAACGCACAUUGCGCCCCCUGGUAUUCCGGGGGGCAUGCCUGUCCGAGCGUCAUUGCUGCCCAUCAAGCACGGCUUGUGUGUUGGGUCGUCGUCCCCUCUCCGGGGGGGACGGGCCCCAAAGGCAGCGGCGGCACCGCGUCCGAUCCUCGAGCGUAUGGGGCUUUGUCACCCGCUCUGUAGGCCCGGCCGGCGCUUGCCGAACGCAAAUCAAUCUUUUUCCAGGUUGACCUCGGAUCAGGUAGGGAUACCCGCUGAACUUAAGCAUAUCAAUAAGCGGAGGAAAUCUCUGGAAGAUCCGCGCG